rnacentral:misc_RNA from 1 species
GAAAUGCGACAAGUAAUGUGAAUUGCAGAAUUCAGUGAAUCAUCGAAUCUUUGAACGCACCUUGCGCUCCUUGGUAUUCCUUGGAGCAUGCCUGUUUGAGUAUCAUGAAAUCUUCAAAGUAAAUCUUUUGUUAACUCAAUUGGUUUCUACUUUGGUAUUGGAGGUCUUUGCAGCUUCACACCUGCUCCUCUUUGUUCAUUAGCUGGAUCUCAGUGUUAUGCUUGGUUCCACUCGGCGUGAUAAGUUAUCUAUCGCUGAGGACACUGUAAAAGGUGGCCAAGGUAAAUGCAGAUGAACCGCUUCUAAUAGUCCAUUGACUUGGACAAUACUUUUAUGAUCUGAUCUCCAAUCAGGUAGGACUACCCGCUGAACUUAAGC